GGGCCUUACGGAGUUUACUCCCAAACCCCAUGUGAACGUUACCAAUCUGUUGCCUCGGCGGGAUUCUCUUGCCCCGGGCGCGUCGCAGCCCCGGAUCCCAUGGCGCCCGCCGGAGGACCAACUCCAAACUCUUUUUUUCUCUCCGUCGCGGCUCCCGUCGCGGCUCUGUUUUAUUUUUGCUCUGAGCCUUUCUCGGCGACCCUAGCGGGCGUCUCGAAAAUGAAUCAAAACUUUCAACAACGGAUCUCUUGGUUCUGGCAUCGAUGAAGAACGCAGCGAAAUGCGAUAAGUAAUGUGAAUUGCAGAAUUCAGUGAAUCAUCGAAUCUUUGAACGCACAUUGCGCCCGCCAGUAUUCUGGCGGGCAUGCCUGUCCGAGCGUCAUUUCAACCCUCGAACCCCUCCGGGGGGUCGGCGUUGGGGAUCGGCCCCUCACCGGGCCGCCCCCGAAAUACAGUGGCGGUCUCGCCGCAGCCUCUCCUGCGCAGUAGUUUGCACACUCGCACCGGGAGCGCGGCGCGGCCACAGCCGUAAAACACCCCAAACUUCUGAAAUGUUGACCUCGGAUCAGGUAGGAAUACCCGCUGAACUUAAGCAUAUCAAUAAGCGGAGGAA
rnacentral:rRNA from 1 species